rnacentral:rRNA from 1 species
AGAGUUUGAUCCUGGCUCAGAUUGAGCGCUGGCGGCAUGCUUUACACAUGCAAGUCGAACGGCAGCACGGGGGCAACCCUGGUGGCGAGUGGCGAACGGGUGAGUAAUGCAUCGGAACGUAUCCUUGAGUGGGGGAUAACGCAGCGAAAAGUUGUGCUAAUACCGCAUAAGCUCUGAGGAGGAAAGCGGGGGACCGAAAGGCCUCGCGCUGAAGGAGCGGCCGAUGUCCGAUUAGCUAGUUGGUGAGGUAAAGGCUUACCAAGGCGACGAUCGGUAGCUGGUCUGAGAGGAUGAUCAGCCACACUGGGACUGAGACACGGCCCAGACUCCUACGGGAGGCGAC